AUUAUGGCUCAGGAUGAACGCUAGCUACAGGCUUAACACAUGCAAGUCGAGGGGCAUCAGGGACUGUGCUUGCACAGUUGCUGGCGACCGGCGCACGGGUGAGUAACGCGUAUCCAACCUUCCCCUUAGUAGGGCAUAGCCCGUAGAAAUGCGGAUUAAUACCCUAUGUUCUUCGUCGAAGACAUCUGAAGUGAAGCAAAGAUUCAUCGCUAAGGGAUGGGGAUGCGUCUGAUUAGGCAGCAGGCGGGGUAACGGCCCACCUGGCCGACGAUCAGUAGGGGUUCUGAGAGGAAGGUCCCCCACAUUGGAACUGAGACACGGUCCAAACUCCUACGGGAGGCAGCAGUGAGGAAUAUUGGUCAAUGGUCGAGAGACUGAACCAGCCAAGUAGCGUGCAGGAUGACGGCCCUAUGGGUUGUAAACUGCUUUUAUGCGGGGAUAAAGUUCACUACGUGUAGUGUUUUGUAGGUACCGCAUGAAUAAGGACCGGCUAAUUCCGUGCCAGCAGCCGC
rnacentral:rRNA from 1 species